UACCGAAGCAUUUAGAUCAGG
rnacentral:piRNA from 1 species